GGAUUAGAUACCCUGGUAGUCCACGCCGUAAACUAUGAUUACUCGGUGCUGGCGAUACACUGUCAGUGCCUAAGCGAAAGUGAUAAGUAAUCCACCUGGGGAGUACGAUCGCAAGGUUGAAACUCAAAGGAAUUGACGGGGGCCCGCACAAGCGGUGGAGCAUGUGGUUUAAUUCGAUGAUACGCGAGGAACCUUACCUGGGCUUAAAUGCAUAAUGACAGACUGAGAAAUCAGUCCUUCUUCGGACAGAAUGCAAGGUGCUGCAUGGCUGUCGUCAGCUCGUGCCG
rnacentral:rRNA from 1 species